GAUGACUGCGAUACAAUCGGAGACAGUGACGGGGACAGCAGCCGAGAGGUUGCCAACACUGACCUUAAACCGACCGGUGAAGCCAUGGGACAGCUUUUAUUUCCCAGAAUUCCCCCAUAAGCACAAGGUGAAGCCGAGGAGAAAAAUGUCUUUGCGCUGGACUCAAUGUCUGGAGGAUUUAACACCAUCCAUCCAUUCCAACCACUACCACAACACCGCUGACGUUUACAAGGCACAAGACUGGGAAAGUUGCUUGAAGAAAUCAUGGGAUGAGGGCUUGGCCGAGUGCCUGGGAGACCAAAGACAGCUGGUCUGGGAACGCCUUGGACUUCCCCCAGAGGUGAAGUCUGGGAGACAGUUGGAAAACGGAAGAUGACCAUGAUGACGACUAACAAUUUACAAUAGAACAUUUAGUGAUGUUCAGGUUAUGCUGAAAUGAUUUGCUGCAGCAAGACUUCAUACUACAAAAUUGAGAAAAUUUCAGGAGUGAUCCUCAAAGACCAGAUUUUUUACAAAAAUCACCAGAGCCACAAUUAUUGACAUUCUUGUCGGUACUUUGUAGAUUUUGCCCAUAGGGAAUAAUUACUCAGUUAGUCAUUAAAGCAAGUUGAAUUUAUUUCUGGAUUAACCUCGUCUGUAUUGCUGUCUUCAUAUAUUUGGGAUCCUAAUCCUGCCAAAACGACCCAACAAUCCAUUUUGGGUAGAGGCUGCAAGAUUUUUUUCUAAACUCUCAUGCUGCUUAAAGGAGUUCAAGAUGUAAUGCAUCCUGAAUAAUGACUGUGCUUAUAUUAAAGACUGAUUUAACUCAUUUUUCAGUGUGAGAUUACACUUCUACAAUAAAAGCAAUUAUUUUUAAAGCUUUUUACAUAUCUUUGGAGCUAAUAUUAAACUGAUGACUGUAAUAGGCUAAUCUUAGUCACUAACAAUGACCUCUAGAUGAGAGAAAAUCAUGUCA